AUGUUAACAAGAAAUUUCUCUGUCAUGCCUUUUUCAGAAUCUCAACCCAAAGUAGACCACGUGGACGACAACUUUGCAACUUGCCUUCUCAAGCUCUUAGUGAUGGUUCUUAUUUUUUAUGUAUUCCGGGAGGAAUGUUUUGGAAAUAAGAAAAGAAAAGGAAAUGUCUCUAGCAUCUGCUGGCCUGCUUUCUGUCUCUGUGAAUUUACCUAUCCAGAUCAACUUAAGGAAAAUGAUCAACUUAGGAAGGAAAAUGAUCAACUUGGGGAGGAAAAUGAUCAACUUAGGAAGGAAAAUGAUCAACUUAGGAAGGAAAAUGGAAAAUUGCAAAAGGAAAUUGAUGAGAGGAAAACUCAAUUUAGGAAUGGCUGGCAGAAGUCAUCGUUGUAUCCUGGUGAGUAUGUUGCACUGAAGAUGAGUCUAAGAUAGACAAUUAAGCUCAUAAAUUCUAUAAAACAUUGGGCUACUAACUACAACAUGACAGAGAAAUACAUACAUAUAUAUAUAUAUAUAUAUAUAUAUAUAUAUAUAUAUAUAUAGAGAGAGAGAGAGAGAGAGAGAGAGAGAGAGAGAGAGAGAAGCGUAUGUAUAUAUAUGUGCUUGCAACUUCUGGUCCAUAGCAAACAUAGCAAGAAAGAUAAUUUUUUAGUAUUUUUCUUUUCGUCUUUUCUCACCUGCCUCUCACAAGACAGAAGUUAAUUAAACCAGAUAUUAAGAAAUGAAGAAAGUAUAAUUUUCUCUUUUGUGAUUUUUAUUCAUUCUCACUAUAUUACAACUUCAGUUCCUUGCCUAACUCAAAAACAUAAAUUUUUUUCUCUAAUUUUUUCCACCGGUAUUGGAUUUUAUCAAAUGAUUUUUCUGUGCCCUAUUGAGAUGAUUAUGCUAUGCUGUCCUUUAUUUUAUUAGUAUGGUUUAUUAUAUGAAUUGAUUUUUACAUGUUAAGCUGAUCUUGCAUUCUGGGAACUAAUCCCACUUGGCGGUGUCUAUAAUCAUUUUUGCAUGGCUGUUAUAUUAAAUUUACUAGUAUGUUAUUGAGAGUUUUGCAUCUGUAUUCGUGAAGGAUAUUUGUGAUGUCUUUGGUUUUAGUACCAGGGUGAUACUAGCCUCAGGAUGAUAAGGGAAAUAUUCUACCCACUUCUAUUUUCUAGAAGAUUUUGUUGAAGCUGGUAUUUUCUGUCCUUUAAAGGUUUGAUAAAACUCACCAGUAAAAUCAUCUGGGCCUGGGAAUGAAUUCGCAUAAAUUUUCAAUUCAAUUAUUUUACUUGUUAUAAGUCUUUCCAGAUUUUCUAUUUCUUAAGCCAUUUUUAGUAAUUUGCGUAUCUUGGAGAAUUUGUGUAGUUCGUCUAAGUUUAAUUUGUCAGCUAUGGAUUUUAAUAGAAGUUUCAUUUGAGCUUUCUAAAUUCUGUAGAUUCAAUAGUGAUCUCAUCAAUAUGUGGUUUCUCAUUCUUAUUGAGCAAUCUAGUAAAAUUUGCUGAUUUCCUAAAAAAGCAAAAUCUGUUUCAGUGAUUUUUUUCCUAAUAAAUUUUGUUUUCUUUCAUUGAUUUCUAACCUA
ensembl:lncRNA